UACGUAGGGGGCUAGCGUUGUCCGGAAUCAUUGGGCGUAAAGCGCGCGUAGGCGGCCCGGUAAGUCCGCUGUAAAAGUCAAAGGCUCAACCUUUGAAUGUCAGUGGAUACUGCCGGGCUAGAGUCCGGAAGAGGCGAGUGGAACUCCUGGUGUAGCGGUGGAAUGCGCAGAUAUCAGGAAGAACACCGGUGGCGAAGGCGGUUCUCUGGGCAUUACCUGACGCUGAGGAGCGAAAGUGUGGGGAGCGAACAGG
rnacentral:rRNA from 1 species